UUUUUUUUUUUUUUUUUUUUUUUUGGGGCAGCACUUUUGGCAUAUGGAUAUUCCCAGGCUAGGGUUGAAUUGAAGCUGCAGCUGCCGGCCUCCACCAGCCACACCAACAUGGAUCUGAGCCAUGUCUGCAAAUUGCACUAUAGCUCAUGGCAACACCAGAUUCUUAACCCACCAAGCGAGGCUAGAGAUCAAACCCACAUCCUCAUAGAUACUAGUCAUGUUCAUUACUGCUAAGCCACAACAGGAACUCCUUUUCUUACAUAUUUUGAUAGGAAAUAUCUCAGAUAGGUUUGGCUCUAUAAAGCAACACCAAUACAUCAGUAUUUAUCAAUCUUUUUUUUAAUAUUUAUUGAAGAAACUCAUUUUUUGUUUGUUUGUUUUGCUUAAACAGCCGCACUCACAGCAUACGGAAAUUCCCAGGCUGGGAUUGAACUCCCAAGCCUCUGCAGAGACCCAUAGCGCUGCAGUUUGAUUCUUAACCCACUGCGCCACAGGGGCAACUCCCAGUAUUUAUCAAUCUAUGACCACAUACACACACACAAAAAAAUUUGUGCCAUUUAUAUAUCUAAAAAAAUCAAUAAAUGUAUAAAUACCUAUAAAUUACUAAUUAAAUAACAUUAAAAUGAGAUAGAAAUAUGAAUAAAGGUAUAAACAAACUGGCUGUGUUUCAUGGGUAUUAAGUGACUGAUGGACAUUAGCCAGGGUUUCAGCAGCAGUCUCACUAUUAGACCAUGAUGACUGGACCCAAAUAGUGGGCUUUAGAUCCAAAUUAAGAAAGAGCUUUAACGCAUUUCCUAGUUUUGAUUUGGAUGUCUUCAAAUUUGAGUGUUCAGGUGUCAAAAGCUUCAUUUUAUCCAUGUCUACUUAAUUCUUUGAAAAUUGUGAAUUCUGUCCAUCAGAAAAUAUGUUCUUAAUUGGAGGACCCUGGAUUUCUCUUUAUAGUUCUAAUAUCCAGCUGAGUACCUAGAAAACAUUAGGUUCUUAAUAACUAUUUAUAGGACAAAUGAAAAAUAAAAGGAAGUGAUAUUAUUUGAUAAUUGGAAGGAAUAAGUGAAAAUAAAGGGAAUCCCUCUCAUAACUAUAACUCAUUAAUAGAAUUAAUAGUUAUAUUGCAUUAUUUUGUCUAAUAUUUAUCUUUUAAUUUUAAAUGUCAUAUACAUAAAAAUAAAUCUAUAAUUUACUUAAAAUACAAAUUCCUGAUGGAGAAAUCUAGCAUUUUUUAUAAAACUCAAACCUAUCCCUGAAUUGAAUACCUGAGAUGUUCAAGGCUAAAAAAAUAAAGUUUCAGAAUUUGAGGCACUUAUUUAAAAAAACAAAGUAAAUGAACCAGGCUUGUUAGCAUAGAAAAUCUAUAGUGCAGGUAUCAUGCUAUAGCUAAAAUAUAAUUACAUGUUGUUAAUUUUAAGUACAUUAUUUAAUAAUCCAUUAAAAUGUUUUAUUUUCCCAUCUAUAGCUAUAAAUGGUGACACUGGCUAUUCUCUUUAUCACACUGUAGUAUUUCUAAAGAGAAAAGAAAUACGUAUUACUAAUUAUCCGCCCGUUUUCUUUUUUCGCUGUGCCCAUGACAUGUGAACAUUCCUAGGCCAGAGGUCAGAGCCAUUCCACAGCAGUGACUCAAGCUGCUGCAGGACAGCACAAGACCCUUAAUCCACUACACCAUGAGAGAACUCCUCUUAUCUGCCAUUUCCAACCAUCUUGUUCAUAAGAAAAUUUAGUGGCAGAUCCAUCCCCAGAUGUGGAGGAAAGGACCAGUGGGUAGAAUGGGCUUUCCAUCCUACAGAGUGUCCACCUUAGGAAAAAUUAUAGAAUCUCAUGAGUAUGUGCAGGUGAGAGAGAAAAUUUAAGUUAAAUUUCGGCUAUAUUCAAUACCCAAAGACGACUUCUAACAGGGAUCAAGGGUCCAAAUGGAAGGGUCCUGCAGUUAGUGAGAAUAUUCAAAGACAUGUCCUGUUUUCUACAAUAUGUUGGAUUGACUCAAGUCAAGAAAUGAACUUGAGGUAAAAGACAAAAUUUUUGAGUGGUUGGUAGAGAGUCUUCAACAAGAGGGUGUAACUUAUUUUUUGUUUUAAUAGCUAGACUUUUAGGAGUUUCUGUUGUGGCUCAGUUGUUAAUGAAUGCAACAAGUAUCCAUGAGGAUGUGGGUUCGAUCCCUGGCCUCACUCAGUGGGUUAAGGAUCUGGUGUUACUGAGGGCUGUGGUGUAGAUCACAGAUGCAGCUCAGAUGCUGCGUUGCUGUGGCUGUGGUGUAGGAUGGCAGCUACAACUCCAAUUAGACCCCUAUCCUGAGAACCUCCAUAUGCUGUGGUUCCAUUCUUAUAAGACAAAAACAAAAAACAAAAAAACCCUAGACUUCUAAGCAAAGACAAUGGAAGUUGUAUAGCCAGUGUUAUGCACUGGGUUGGCCAAGCAAACCUGGAAGCAUUUAGCAGAAGGCUGCAGUUAAGUAAGCAGACUGCUACCUAUACAACUACUCACUACUCCACUUGUACAGGGGUAGGGUGUAUCAUAUAUUUCAAGCAAAGCAAGGGAGAGUGAGGCAGAAGCCACAGCUUGAGGAUCUUCAGCACCAGUAACUGGGGGAAACAAAGGCUACCAGAAAAUUAAUCUACAUAUCUCUUGAGGUCAAGAAUACUUUCCGGCAUUAUAUAAAUUAUGUAGCUAGGCACAGAAAUUAACUUUAUCUUUUUAAUAUUUUCUAGUUGGAAAUUAUCUUAGUGUUAAAGUGAUGAUAACACACAUCCCCACCAGGCAAGGUAUUUAGUUUCUUAAUUUAACAACAUUUUGGUCUCUAGACCUAAAUAAUCCCUAGAUCACCAAUCUUUACACAGGUGCUGCAGAGAGGGGUAUUUUAUGGUCUUGAUAUCCAGAAGCACUCACAAUAAAAACUGUUCAAUAUCUUCUCCAAUGGUUUAAGUUUACAGGAAGUUGACUGAAGGUUAAGGUAAAAAAUCAGGCUCUAGAUAAGUGUUUGAGCAUGAUGAUAUAGAAAAUACACAGCUCUUCUCUCUUGAAACUUAAUCUUUAUAGAAAUUGUCCCUAAACCUAUACUAACUAAAUGUGCUGCCAUUUCAAUGAAGGUUUUAUAAAAUCAUUCCAGGUAAUAUGACUCAUUAGAGUAAAAUUAUUUGAAAAGCUAGGCUAUCUGGGUCUCAAAAAAAAAAAAAAUAGUGUGCAUAAGAGUUACCAAGAAAGUUUACAGAUUUCUAGACUCCAUGUCAAGGGGUUCACAUUUCAUAUAGUUUGGAGAUAAAGCUUGGAAACUUAUUUUUAAACAAGCCACCUAGAUCAUUACUCUGCCAAACACCAAAUAAACCAGAGAUGAAAUAAAAAUGGAACUGAAAGGUCCUAACACUGACACUGUUUGGACAGCAGAAAUGGAAUAUUGAGCAUCAGAAGGAAGAGGAUUUCCUUUUGAUUGACUAAAAACUGCCAAAAUCAUCUUUGAAGGAAGCCAUGUUUUGUGCCCACAGGAGAAUUAAAUAGAGUGAGAGGUUAUGAUAAAGCUUUUAUCUUGGAAAAAACUGAUGGAGUGACAGUGCUGUGAUGUGCGAAACUAGCAGAGAAAAUAUCAUGUCAUAAAAUAUAAAAUUGCCCAAGUAGGCCAGGAAAAAAUAUCAUAUCCAGACAUACAAGUAAUCAGGUUACUUCUCUAAAGAGUUUUGGUUUUAAAAUAUUAAAUUGCCCCCUCCCCAAAAAAUUACCUUUAAGUUAGCUCAGAGGAGAAAUAAUAAAAACUAAAUGCAAUCUUAAACAUCCUUUUAAAAUAGUUAAAAUUAAGAUCUAAUUUUCUCUGUCCUCAUGCAUGAUUAAAAAUGAAUAAAUGAAAAGACAAAACCCCAUUUGACUCUUUAUCCCAAAAGUGAUUACUUCAUCAUUCUCACUGCAGUGGGACACAUAUGCCAUCCACAACAAAUCACUAAUGUGUCUAUGAAAUUUUGCAAAUAAAUACAAUGUAUUUUUACUUGUGAGUACCAUCUGCAGGAUUUCAAGCAUGCAAAAUAUUUUGAUGCUUCAGGGGAUUUUAUAUAAUUGAUGCUAUAUUUUUCUGAGAAUGCUUCAAAUGACUGAUUAUGAAAGAUCUGCCCAGUUUUACUUACAUUAACUCUUGAAAAUAAUAUCCCCAUUCUCUCACAUCAUUUUGUGCAGUCAACUCACUUCUCUAGUACCCAUGUGACCUCCCACCAAAUCCCUGCCACUUUAUAGGAAAAGAGAACAAACCCUACAAAUGAUCUAGGUAAUAGAUUAGGAUUUCCUCUACAAUUAUUUGGCUAUUUCUCAUUAACCAUUAAAAUAAAAACAUGUAACAGGCUCCCUUCACAAAGUAGCUGGAUACUCUGUCAUCACCACUAUUCCUUUCUUUCUGUUGUCUUGAAAGCUUUCCAGGUAAGACCAAAUCUGCUUGCCAGGCAGUUGAUCUUGAAUAGGAACCCUCCUCAUCAUCCCAGACUUACCAGAACUUUCUGGUCCUUGGGAAGUUACCUUGGAGCAUUCAAAAGAGAGUUUGCGGGGCUGUCUGUGGAGCUGAGGGCUCAGGCUGGGAAAUGAAACUGCUUUGCCUUUUCACUGAACCAGCUGAGAUACCUGCCUGUAGGUGAUGCACAUCACACUUCUUAAAAGAGGCAGCUCCACGUGAUGAAGCUACAUCCUGCAAGAGCAGCCCCCAGCAAGAGGUGCCAGAGAACGAGAAUCACACAAGGGUAGCAGUAGCCCACGUGGUUCACAAUCAGCAUUGAGGAUUUUUCUCAUAUGGAAGGACUUGCGAACAAAUCAGAUGAGCUGGGAUGCCAAAUUGAGAGCAGUGGGAAGGGGGCAGGGACUUGAAAAGGGCCUCUGAUAAACUAUGCCCCACUUAACAGUCUUCUAUUUUUAUUCUGAUCUUAUGAGUUAACCCAUGAAUUUUACAGUAUAAUUUUCAGAAGCAAUAACUUCAGAGCCUAAGAUUCUUUUGUGCCUCUUCUCUCAAGCUCAUUUAUAGCAUUACAUUUAGUAGCCAAAUUCAUUAACUCCCU
rnacentral:lncRNA from 1 species